AACGCACAUUGCACCCUCUGGUAUUCCGGAGGGUAUGCCUGUUUGAGUGUCAUUAACACGUCAACACGGACAAGUUUUUUUCAAGACUUGCUCCGCUGCUUGGAUCGUUGAAGGUCUGCUGACAAACACUGUCAGCUCCUUUUAAAUUCAUUAGCAGGAACUAUGCAAAACUUGCUUCAGUUUGAUAAGAUUGAACUGCUGCCAAAAGAUGCAAUUUGUUUUCCAGCUUCUAACCGUCCAGUGAAACUGGACUGUCUCAUUCUUCGAGGCAACACAUCGUCGAUGACAACUUGGCCUCAAAUCAGGUAGGAUUACCCGCUGAACUUAA
rnacentral:misc_RNA from 1 species